AUUUGACGUUAGCUGCAGAAGAAGCACCGGCUAACUCCGUGCCAGCAGCCGCGGUAAUACGGAGGGUGCGAGCGUUUAAUCGGAAUUACUGGGCGUAAAGCGCAUGCAGGUGGUUUGUUAAGUCAGAUGUGAAAAGCCCGGGGCUCAACCUCGGAAUUGCAUUUGAAACUGGCAAACUAGAGUACUGUAGAGGGGGUAGAAUUUCAGGUGUAGCGGUGAAAUGCGUAGAGAUCUGAAGGAAUACCGGUGGCGAAGGCGGCCCCCUGGACAGAUACUGACACUCAGAUGCGAAAGCGUGGGGAGCAAACAGGAUUAGAUACCCUGGUAG
rnacentral:rRNA from 1 species